CGCUGGCGGCGUGCUUAACACAUGCAAGUCGAACGGAAAGGCCUGCCACCUUUGGUGGUGGGUACUCGAGUGGCGAACGGGUGAGUAACACGUGGGUGAUCUGCCCCGCACUGUGGGAUAAGCCUGGGAAACUGGGUCUAAUACCACAUACGACCAUGGCGUAGGGGUCAUGGUGGAAAGCUUUUGCGGUGUGGGAUGAGCCCGCGGCCUAUCAGCUUGUUGGUGGGGUAAUGGCCUACCAAGGCGGCGACGGGUAGCCGGCCUGAGAGGGUGGACGGCCACAUUGGGACUGAGACACGGCCCAGACUCCUACGGGAGGCAGCAGUGGGGAAUAUUGCACAAUGGGCGCAAGCCUGAUGCAGCGACGCCGCGUGGGGGAUGAAGGCCUUCGGGUUGUAAACUCCUUUCGCCCGGGACGAAGCCCACCUUAGUGGGUGACGGUACCGUGGAGAAGAAGCACCGGCUAACUAC
rnacentral:rRNA from 1 species